AGUUAAAAAAAGACCCAAUACGAUUCCUGUAUCGGGUCCAGGGAAAUGGCUCGUAGUGAGCCGUGCGCUAAAAGUUGGCAUUUUUGAAGGCGAGGUGCCUUGCCUUUUAAAGGUAGUCCAACGGCGAACAUUGUCCAGCAA
rnacentral:sRNA from 1 species